rnacentral:lncRNA from 1 species
UGGUAAUAUUCUUUCAUUCCCAAUUUCUGUUUCAACUUUAGUUAGACAGUCAGGAUCUACGAGGUUUCUCCAAUGAUGAAAUACGACUAAAUAUUUAAUUCUAUUCCUUGUUCUGAUGAAAAACCAUGUAGUCUCUAAUUUCAUUUCAGAAACUAAUGUUGACAAUGAUUGGUUUUGCUUUGUUUCUUUUAUAUUUGAUUUGCCUUCUGGAAUGCAUAGAUCCAGGAUAUGCUUGGUUUUGCUUUGUUUCUUUCUUAAUAGUAUUUUCAUUGUGUAAAUUGCACUAUUAGUCUCUGAACUUCCAGUCAAAGUUUCAGUUUGGUCCUCGAAGCUUAAAAGUUCGACAAUGAACACCCCAGCUUAUAAUUUCUCCUUUUCUCUUUAACUCUGCCAUCUCUUUUGGUUAGAUAAAAAUAGUUGCCUGCUUAUGGUUCAUCUGUGUAUCUAUGCAUUAUUAAUCCAUCAGCUCUUGAUCUAUCGUGUUUUCAAUCCAGCCAUUUAGCUUCUUAAGUAAAGAAAAGACCGCAAUUGUAUGGUUUGUUUACGUACAAAUAUAUGAUGAGAUCGAGGGCCGAUACAUUGGUGUAGGCAAAAACUGUUCCUUCAAUGGUAGAUGAUGACAAUGACUAAAGUGAAAUACUUCCUUAAGUUCAGUGUAUUUGGAAAUUCGAGGAAUUGGAACCAAACACUUGACUAAAAUUUUGGGGAAUAAUAGUGCAACUGUGCAAGUCGUUUUAUUUUACUUUAUUUUUCAUUUUAUGAAGACUUAUUCUUCUUUAGUUCAAAAUUUUGUGUUGAGUGCUGCCUCGAAUCUUAAAUAGAAGUGGCUAUGAAAUUAUAUCACCUGAGUCUAAGCAUUUCAUAGUUUUUCCCUGUCGUGACGCUAAAUUGAGAGCAACAAUAUGUAAAGCUGCUUUCACUGCUAUCUCACUUGGAACAACAAUAGUAAGAACGAGGUUUAACUAUUUAUUAAACUCUGAAAUUCUUAUUCUUCUUCGAUCGUCUAACUAUUAAACCAAACUUAUUAUUCUUCUUUAUUGCUUCAGUUCCUGUUAGUACACAGCGACUUGAUCUCAUGUCUCUCUCUUU